AUGGAGCAAAAGGAGACCUGGGAACCAAAGGAGAUAAGGGCACACGUGGCCCCCAAGGAGCAAAAGGGCUCCCAGGAACCCGCGGUCAAAUUGGUUUGCAAGGCUUCCCGGGCCCCCGAGGAGCGGCUGGGCCCCASGGACCAGAGGGAGAAGAAGGCCAGAUCGGCCCGGCGGGUCUCAACAGCAGCGAAGGACCCAAGGGAAGCCGAGGACCUGAUGGCCUCAAGGGAAUCCCAGGAUUACGAGGAACCAGGGGCCGCACGGGGCAGCGUGGGCUGGCUGGAGUCCCUGGCCUGCCAGUAAGUAGGAGAUCYCCAUUCAGCCUGCAACGCUUGCGCGUCGUGUUUUCUUUGCUUAGAUGAGCUCUCGG
rnacentral:lncRNA from 1 species